rnacentral:lncRNA from 1 species
UUCCCCUCCUCUCCCUCACUCCCCACCAGGAAAAAGCUGGAAAUAGUGAGAGAUGAGGGGAGGGAGACGGUGGCUCCAAAACGCAAUGGAGGCUCAAGGAAGACGUCAGCAGACGUCCUGUUAUAUCUACCACGGCCACGAGGCCUGGCUGCAAGUGAGAGGCAUUUCUGGUGGGAAAACCCAUCAUGGGCCCCCAGGGGAGACCCCUGCCCCUGCUGGCCCUGGGCUGCCCAUCUUCGAGCCAGGAAGAAUUACAGGAAAUCCUUCUGACUUCUGGGAACAGAAGGGGCAGCAGGAGCUGUGAGCCUGAGCCAGGCCCUCCUGCUACUUCCUCAAAAUGGACAGAAGGAACCAGCUUUCUCGGGAAACAGGGCUGCUUAGCAAGAGGCCUCGGACCUGCCAUGGGAUGGAAGUAGCAAGAAAAACAAAGCAUGUCUGAGACCGAGGAUGCGAGUCAAGAAGAAGCUGAACUUGGCAGACCAGAUUCACAAAUCCAGGAUCUAGAAAUUUCCAAGUUUCUGUAAGAGGAAUGAAACCCAGCUCUGCAGUCACACGUGCCUGUGAUUUAUCUCCCCUCAACAACAUAGCCGUCUAGGAUCCCACAGAUGCUGCUUUCAAGGAACUUCAGAGGGUUCCUAGGAAAAGUUUGUUUCAAACUGAUGAAACCCCAAAUAUAUUGGAGAUCAAUAAUUUAAAGUGUCAGUAAGAUAAAAUGUUAAGAUAAGAAAAGAAUAUGGCCAAGUCAGCCAUACCUGGUGUCCAGCGAUGCUGAGGCUGCCACGCCUCUGGCAGCACACAUUGUCCAGAGUCAUGGUUAAUGAUGACAGGACCUGAGUCCUGUGAUCUAAGGUGGUGGACCCUGUAUACUCAUAGGUCUGUUCUGCGGCAGAAUUUUUUUUUUGAGGUUCUGGAAAUUUAACCUCCCUUUGUUUUUCCACCUUCUGAGCUUGGAUCUCCAGCUUCCACGGUAAUUUUAUGAGCUACCAAACGAUCAUUCAGACAAUUGAUUUUCUGGUUGAAUGAGAAUCAGUUUCUGUUAUUUCUAACUUAGACUGGACAGAGUUAUUGCAUAAAAUUCAACAAGUCAAAACAUAUUAGGUGGUUAUAAAACUAGGAUUGAAAAAAUAAUAAUUUCCACUUACGGCCAAAAAUGGAAUUUAUAGCAACAAGAUUUAUUCUCACACUUUAAGGAACUAGAAAACUGGACAAAAUGCAAAGAACAGGGGUUUUCACUCACCAAACAGGCAGUGCGAGGCUGCGAUCCCACGGAGAAGGGAACAAGGUGGGCCCCACAGCUGCACCCACUGACUGCCUGGAUGCAGUUUCCAGGCCUCAGCACAGGGAGGGCUAGCCCAAACCGGAGCCAGUUAUCUUGAUGAGUGGAAAGAGACAGAAAUCAGAGCUCAGAGAGACCCAGGUGACUAGGAUUUGUGGGG